AGAAUCAACGCUGGCGGCGUGCCUAACACAUGCAAGUCGAACGCGAAAGGGGCCUUCGGGCCCUGAGUAGAGUGGCGGACGGGUGAGUAACACGUGGGUAAUUUGCCUUUUGGUGGGGAAUAACACCUCGAAAGAGAUGCUAAUACCGCAUAACGCAGUUUUGUCGCAUGGCGAGAUUGUUAAAGUGGGGGAUCGCAGGACCUCACGCCGGAAGAGAAGCCCGCGCCCGAUUAGCUAGUUGGUGGGGUAAAGGCCUACCAAGGCUUCGAUCGGUA
rnacentral:rRNA from 1 species